rnacentral:rRNA from 1 species
CCUACGGGUGGCAGCAGUGGGGAAUAUUGGACAAUGGGCGAAAGCCUGAUCCAGCCAUGCCGCGUGUGUGAAGAAGGCCUUCGGGUUGUAAAGCACUUUCAGUGGGGAAGAAAGCCUUGGGGCUAAUACCCUCGAGGAAGGACAUCACCCACAGAAGAAGCACCGGCUAACUCCGUGCCAGCAGCCGCGGUAAUACGGAGGGUGCGAGCGUUAAUCGGAAUUACUGGGCGUAAAGCGCGCGUAGGCGGUCUGAUAAGCCGGUUGUGAAAGCCCCGGGCUCAACCUGGGAACGGCAUCCGGAACUGUCAGGCUAGAGUGCAGGAGAGGAAGGUAGAAUUCCCGGUGUAGCGGUGAAAUGCGUAGAGAGCGGGAGGAAUACCAGUGGCGAAGGCGGCCUUCUGGACUGACACUGACGCUGAGGUGCGAAAGCGUGGGUAGCAAACAGGAUUAGAUACCCUUGUAGUC